GAUCCAGAGAUUUCCGAAUGGGGGAACCCAACAUCUUUAAUAGGAUGUUACGAUUGUGUGAAUACAUAGCACAUUCGAGGUAGACGCAGAGAACUGAAACAUCUAAGUACCUGCAGGAAGAGAAAGAAAAUUCGAUUCCCUGAGUAGCGGCGAGCGAAACGGGAAAAGCCCAAACCAGCAAGCUUGCUUGUUGGGGUUGUAGGACUCCAAUAUGGUAGUUCUUUCAGAUAGUCGAAUGACUUGGAAAAGUCAGUCAAAGAGGGUAAAAACCCCGUAGACGAAAUGUGGAAGACACCUAGGAGGAUCCUGAGUACGGCGGAACACGAGAAAUUCCGUCGGAAUCCGGGAGGACCAUCUCCCAAGGCUAAAUACUCCCUAGUGACCGAUAGUGAACCAGUACCGUGAGGGAAAGGUGAAAAGCACCCCGGAAGGGGAGUGAAAUAGAACCUGAAACCGUGUGCCUACAACAAGUCAAAGCCCGUUAAUGGGUGAUGGCGUGCCUUUUGUAGAAUGAACCGGCGAGUUACGAUUGCAUGCGAGGUUAAGUUGAAGAGACGGAGCCGCAGCGAAAGCGAGUCUGAAUAGGGCGUUUGAGUAUGUAGUCGUAGACCCGAAACCAUGUGAUCUACCCAUGUCCAGGUUGAAGGUGCGGUAAAACGCACUGGAGGACCGAACCCACGUACGUUGAAAAGUGCGGGGAUGAGGUGUGGGUAGCGGAGAAAUUCCAAACGAACUUGGAGAUAGCUGGUUCUCUCCGAAAUAGCUUUAGGGCUAGCCUCGGAAUU
rnacentral:rRNA from 1 species